AGGGUUCGAUUCUGGCUCAGGACGAACGCUGGCGGCGUGCUUCAUACAUGCAAGUCGAACGAGAAUCUGGCUUCGGUCAGAGGAAAGUGGCGGACGGGUGAGUAAUGUGUAGAGAAUCUGCCCUUUAGUGGGGGACAACAGUUGGAAACGACUGCUAAUACCCCAUAUGCGCGUAGCUGAGAUGCUAUUCGUGAAAACUCCGGUGCUAAAGGAUGAGUCUGCAUCUGAUUAGCUAGUUGGCGGUGUAAUGGACCACCAAGGCGACGAUCAGUAGCUGGUUUGAGAGGAUGAUCAGCCACAAUGGGACUGAGACACGGCCCAUACUCCUACGGGAGGCAGCAGUAGGGAAUUUUGCGCAAUGGGGGAAACCCUGACGCAGACAACGCCGCGUGAUUGAAUAAGCCCUUCGGGGUGUAAAGAUCUGUCAGUAGGGACGAAACUUGACGGUACCUACAGAGGAAGCAUCGGCUAGCUCCGUGCCAGCAGCUGC
rnacentral:rRNA from 1 species